rnacentral:tRNA from 1 species
GAGCCGCUAGCUCAGUUGGUAGAGCAUCUGACUUUUAAUCAGAGGGUCGGGGGUUCGAUUCCCCCGCGGCUCACCA